rnacentral:lncRNA from 1 species
UUUUAAACUUAUUUCCAAAUAAUUUAGUCACCUUAGUACCUUUGAGCAAGUAUUUUUUAAACUUAUUUCCAAAUAAUUUAGUCACCUUAGUACCUUGUGGUUUAUCAAAUUUUCACUAAUACUCUACAGUUUUAACUUUGUUACUGGUUUAACAGAAAAAUUAAUAUAGAGAAUAAUAGAAAAAAAAACCACAUAAUACUAAAAUGAUACAUUUUAAACCACAAGAUGCUAGAGUGAAAAAGCACAAAACCACAGAUGUGGUAUUUGAAAUUUUUUUCUAAAAAAUAUGUGUCAAUUUUAAUUUACAUUUCAAUAUUAUUUC